CGGGAGGCAGCAGUAGGGAAUCUUCCACAAUGGACGAAAGUCUGAUGGAGCAACGCCGCGUGAGUGAUGAAGGUUUUCGGAUCGUAAAACUCUGUUGUUAAAGAAGAACAAGUGUUAGAGUAACUGUUAACACUUUGACGGUAUUUAACCAGAAAGCCACGGCUAACUACGUGCCAGCAGCCGCGGUAAUACGUAGGUGGCAAGCGUUGUCCGGAUUUAUUGGGCGUAAAGCGAGCGCAGGCGGUUUUGUAAGUCUGCUGUGAAAGCCCUCAGCUCAACUGAGGAAGUGCAGUGGAAACUACAAAACUUUGAGUACAGAAAGAGGAAAGUGGAACUCCAUGUGUAGCGGUGAAAUGCGUUANAUAUAUGGGAAGAACACCAGUGGCGAAGGCGGCUUUCUGGUCUGUUUACUGACCCGAGGCUCGAAAAGCAUGGGGNAGCGAACAGGAUUAGAUACCCUGGUAGUCCCAUGCCGUAAACGAUGAAUANUAGGUGUUGGAGGGUUUCCGCCCUUCAGUGCCGCAGCUAACGCAUUAAGUAUUCCGCCUGGGGAGUACGACCNCAAGGUUGAAACUCAAAAGGAAUUGACGGGGGGCCCGCACAAGUGGUGGAGCAUGUGGUUUAAUUCGAUGCUACGCGAAGAACCUUACCAGCUCUUGACAUCUUCUGCCAACCCAAGAGAUUGGGCGUUCCCUUCGGGGACAGAAUGACAGGUGGUGCAUGGUUGUCGUCAGCUCGUGUCGUGAGAUGUUGGGUUAAGUCCCGCAACGAGCGCAACCCUUAUUAUUAGUUGCCAGCAUUUAGUUGGGCACUCUAGUGAGACUGCCGGUGAUAAACCGGAGGAAGGUGGGGACGACGUCAAAUCAUCAUGCCCCUUAUGAGCUGGGCUACACACGUGCUACAAUGGAUGGUACAACGAGUCGCGAAACCGCGAGGUCAAGCUAAUCUCUUAAAGCCAUUCUCAGUUCGGAUUGCAGGCUGCAACUCGCCUGCAUGAAGUUGGAAUCACUAGUAAUCGUGGAUCAGGCAUGCCACGGUGAAUACGUUCCCGGGCCUUGU
rnacentral:rRNA from 1 species